rnacentral:sRNA from 1 species
GUUAUUAAAAAGCCGAAUGCAUUAUGCAGCGGGGGAUAAACUUUGGGGUGAAUCCUUUAUGGUAGGGACUCUCUCUUCCCGAACCCGUCAACUAACCUCGUAGGCAAAAGAGAGGUGUUUA